rnacentral:lncRNA from 1 species
AUGGCUAAAUUCAUCUGUUCAUUUCUUCUCUUGAUUAUUUUCACUUCAGUGGUCCAAGAUGCCUACGCCGGUGGAGAAGGAUCCCUUCGUUCUGAACAAUGUGUGGGCGCAUGUGAAUAUCGUUGUUCAGCAACUAUGUACAAGAAGGCAUGUCUAACAUAUUGUAACAUUUGUUGUGUAAAAUGCUUAUGUGUUCCAUCUGGAACAUAUGGUCACAAGGAAGAAUGUGCAUGCUACAAUAAUUGGAAAACUCAGAGAGGAACACCUAAAUGUCCCUAG